CAUUUGCUGACCUACAUGUUUAAUUCAUCUUUACCAGGUAAGAAAAGAUUCAUACGACAGACAGGCGUCGGUACCAAACCAAAAGAAGAUAAGACGGGCAUCGAGAAUCAUCCACUGCUGCAAUAGCUUCACAGAGAAACACAUCAGGCAAAGAGAUGCAGAGUACAAUAAAUCUACUAAGAAAACGCAGGAUCUAGUAACUCGUUCAGUUUUCCUUCAACUGCAAAUGUAGUGGUCUUAUUAGCGAUAUUAUAAACAACAAGACCAGAUACGAGAAAUGUUCAAAUAACAAUGUAUUCAACAGUGUCACCACCACAAAAUAACAAUGGGGCCAAGCAACAAUUUUACUUACCUAGUGAUAUUCAGUGACUCUCAAGUCUUGAUAACUUUCAGCUACCAGCUGCAUACCUUUGUCCGUUAUGCUCUGCAGCGAUUAGUGCACAUACAAUUCAGAUAUUUCAUCCAAUACAAAGAACACACGGGGGAGAGAGGAGAGGAAUCUAUGUAUUUAAAACAUUUGCUAUAAUUACAGCACUCAUCAAAAAUAAAACUCCCAAGAAUAUAGAUUAAGAUACCUUGCAGCCACUUAGGUUCAAAUCAAUGGUAGUUCUGCAAUGCAUGAGGUAAAAUUAAGAAGUGUGACAAAAAUGAAUAUUACCUCAUGU